rnacentral:rRNA from 1 species
AUUGAACGCUGGCGGCAUGCCUUACACAUGCAAGUCGAACGGUAACAGGUCUUCGGAUGCUGACGAGUGGCGAACGGGUGAGUAAUACAUCGGAACGUGCCCGAUCGUGGGGGAUAACGAGGCGAAAGCUUUGCUAAUACCGCAUACGAUCUACGGAUGAAAGCGGGGGAUCUUCGGACCUCGCGCGGACGGAGCGGCCGAUGGCAGAUUAGGUAGUUGGUGGGAUAAAAGCUUACCAAGCCGACGAUCUGUAGCUGGUCUGAGAGGAUGAUCAGCCACACUGGGACUGAGACACGGCCCAGACUCCUACGGGAGGCAGCAGUGGGGAAUUUUGGACAAUGGGCGAAAGCCUGAUCCAGCCAUGCCGCGUGCAGGAUGAAGGUCUUCGGGUUGUAAACUGCUUUUGUACGGAACGAAAAGCCUCUUUCUAAUAAAGAGGGGUCAUGACGGUACCGUAAGAAUAAGCACCGGCUAACUACGUG